CAGCAGCCGCGGUAAUACGGAGGGUGCAAGCGUUGUUCGGAAUUAUUGGGCGUAAAGCGCGUGUAGGCGGUUAUGUAAGUCAGAUGUGAAAGCCUUCCGCUUAACGGGAGAAGUGCAUUUGAAACUGUCUUGCUAGAGUAAGGGAGAGGGAAGUGGAAUUCCUGGUGUAGAGGUGAAAUUCGUAGAUAUCAGGAGGAACACCGGUGGCGAAGGCGACUUUCUGGCCCUAUACUGACGCUGAGACGCGAGAGCGUGGGGAGCAAACAGGAUUAGAUACCCUGGUAGUCCACGCCGUAAACGAUGUUCACUAGGUGUUGGGGGUAUUGACCCCCUCAGUGCCGGAGCUAACGCAUUAAGUGAACCACCUGGGGAGUACGGUCGCAAGACUAAAACUCAAAGGAAUUGACGG
rnacentral:rRNA from 1 species